ACAUCUCUUUAUUUACAACGCACAUAAACAGGCGAAUCAUCUUACUGCCAGUGUGGGGCUCUGUUGAUAGCCUAUAGGAUGAUUACGGUGGCCGUCACGGGGGAUGAAGAAAAACAGAUUCUCAAAGACGGGCAGCUAUGAGAUAUCUGCAUGCUUUAGGUGGAAAAACACAUGAUCAGGGUUGGAAUAUACUUGAACAUACACACACUUACACAAUAGAAUGUAAAAACAGCACCUGCAUCUCUGUUUACACGUAUUACUCUUGCAGUGUCCUUCUAUCAGUUCUAUCUGUCAGCAAAGGAAAAGAAUGCAGCCAUGAUGCCAUGAACACACAUUCCUCAAAGCAAUCUCUUUACCUCAUAAAACAUCAUCUUUGGAUAAAUAUAGUCAGGUUACCAGAGCUCUUAUUUAAAAAUCUGUGAAAAAAAGCAUGUUUUUGAAAGUGAAAGAGGACCGAUUACAGACAGCUGUGGCACUCCAAAUGUGCCUCUCCACCCCAUGGUUAGGACAGCAGUUAGUGAGGGACUUCCUGCAUGGAAAGCUGUGUAUGUUUUCCUUCAGUGAAUUGAACAUCCUGCAGAUCUUAAAUUCCAGUCAGCAAUAAACUCCCUGACCUCUGAGCACAAAAUUAGGCGCAUCAUAUAAGCAAGAGACACAAGCGAAAGGAGGGACUGCAAAACAAAACCGAAAGAUAGAGAUAAACGAAAAUGACAAAGAAAGAAUGAGAGAAUGCAAACUCACACAUUUCUGUGCGAGUUUUCUUAAUUAUUCAUUGUAUGAAAAGGAUUACGAAAAAGGAAACUAGUUUACAUGAUUAAUUAUUAGCAGUUACAUUUU